UACGUAGGGUGCAAGCGUUAAUCGGAAUUACUGGGCGUAAAGCGUGCGCAGGCGGUUUUGUAAGACUGUCGUGAAAUCCCCGGGCUUAACCUGGGAAUGGCGAUGGUGACUGCAAGGCUAGAGUUUGGCAGAGGGGGGUAGAAUUCCACGUGUAGCAGUGAAAUGCGUAGAGAUGUGGAGGAACACCGAUGGCGAAGGCAGCCCCCUGGGCCGACACUGACGCUCAUGCACGAAAGCGUGGGGAGCAAACAGG
rnacentral:rRNA from 1 species